CUCAUAGAGAGUUUGAUCCUGGCUCAGGAUGAACUCUGGCGGCAUGCUUAACACAUGCAAGUCGGAUGGGAAGUGGUGUUUCCAGUGGCAGACAGGUGAGUAACGCGUAAGAACCUGCCCUUGGGAGGGGAACAACAACUGGAAACGCCUGCUAAUACCCCAUAGGCUGAGGAGCAAAAGGAGGACUCCACCCAAGGAGGGGCUCACGUCUGAUUAGUUAGUUGGUGAGGCAAUGGCUUAUCAAGGCGACGAUCAGUAGCUGGUCCGAGAGGAUGAUCAGCCACACUGGGACUGAGACACGGCCCAGACUCCUACGGGAGGCAGCAGUGGGGAAUUUUCCGCAAUGGGU
rnacentral:ncRNA from 1 species